AUGGGGAAUUUGCUCUCAUUUAAAUCAAAAGAAGAAAAGUUGAAGGAGGUGGCUUGUCAGCUUUAUGACCAUACAAUGCACAAUAAGGUGUAUGGUGACCCCCUGCUUCCAGAUGUCAGCAUUGACAAGUCCCUUCUGGAAUUUUCCCAUCAAAAUUCAAUUUCCUUACUUUACAGCAAGUUCUCUGUACAGCUUCAGUGCAGUGACUGGCAAGAACAACUGAAAAGACUUGGAAGCAAAGUUCCCGGUCUUGUGAAAGAUGCGGGUACCAAGCUUGCAUCCUACACACCCUUUCCCCUUGCUGUAGGUCUUGGUGCCAUUGUAAUUUCAAUGUUGUGUGAGAAGAUUUUGGACUUUCACAAAAGUGACUCAGAGAGCAGUGCACUGUUGCUGCUGCAGAGGAUUUUUGCUGAGGAGAAGGAGAUGGAGGUCAAAAACCUGAUGGAGGAAUAUCUGAAGCGCCACAUGAUGUAUGUCUUUGAUAUGAAGAAGGUGCAAGAGGAGUUAGUGACCAUGGAGCGCCAACUGAGCUUCCAGCUCACUCGUCUGAAGAACUCAAUGAAAGAUGGCAACAUGAGUUCCCGUUCCCUCAAGAUCUGGGUCAAUGGUGCUGCCUUCCAUGUCCAAAUGCUCAUCCACUUGGUGCGUCUUGGGCAGGGGGACAGCACACCAGUCCAAGCUGCCAUUCAGAGCUACCAGGAGGACGUAGAAGUACUACUGAACCGAUACAAGGAGUAUAAAGCCACCACCAUUAUAAUAGAGCAUUCCCCAUUUGCACUCUUCUACAUUGUGAAGAAUUUCACUGAAACAGUCAGCGGUAUUAAACCUGCUGGUUUUUUGUUAGGGACGGUGGCAGGUGUUUUAACCCCAAUACCUGCUAUUUAUUUUAAUUUUUAUAGAAUUAAGGACAAAGAACUGGGGAAAGAAGUGUUCCAAAUCUCAGUCGUUGACCUGUAUUCAGACAAUGACAAACGUGCCCUUACAGAAGCUUUCUUGGAUCACAUGUUCUCCAAUUUUGAGCAGAUCACCAGACUGAAGGAGUACUUCUCAACUACUGCCAACAAUCUGGACAAACUUAUAGCUGAACAGGGAGACUUUGAUAUUUUAAAAGUUUCUCCAUCUCUGGAGUCCACUGAUGAUGGAGAAGAGGUGACCAGCACUGAUGAAAAGGAUGAGAAAGAGAGCACCAGUCAGAAGGGUAAGUCUCGUGCUACGUACACAAAAAAAGAAUCUGGUAAUGAAGAAUGGAAUGAAACAUCACCGUCUGUGGAAAAGGUGGAGAAGAUGAAUCCUGCAUUAAACAGUGUGAUGAGAAGCUAUUGA
rnacentral:lncRNA from 1 species